rnacentral:rRNA from 1 species
UUGAAAGGGAAACGAUUGAAGUCAGUCGUACCGACGAGAAAUCAGCUUUUCGAAUGUGCAUUUGUGGGCGUAUGAGAUCUUCAUUGUUUGCAAUAUGUAUAUUUCUUUGGUGUACUUUUUCGUAUGGUAGGUCAAUGUCGGUUUUGAUCGCCAUAAAAUGAUCGGAGGAAUGUAGCUUCGGCUUCGGUUGAAGUGUUAUAGCCUUUGGUAAAUGUGAUGAUUAGGAUCGAGGAUUGCAACGAAUACCCUUUUGGGCUAUCCGCCUGAUCUCUGAUACGUGGCCUUGGUAUCGAAAGCUUGCUUAUGGUAUUGAGGUAUUACGGUCAAAAGGUUAGAACGGAUUACAUCGUUAAGGAUGUUGACGUA